AAUUUCUGAGUGUAUCUGUGAACACUCACGUAUGUCUGUGUGGGAGUGUGUCAGCAUGUGUGUGUGUGGGGGGUCACCAAGUGCAUCCCCCCCCCCCGCCCCCUGAAAACCCGUGAAAAAAAAAAUAACACGGCGAAAAAUCUGUGUGGAGGAUCGUAAAUAUUCAGGUCUCUCGCUCUCUGUCUUUUUCUCCGAGUGAAAGCAGCUGUCCAGCGGUGAGACGCCACUCCCAACACGCGUGACGACGACCACGUCUGUCACCCGUCGAUCUCCCCACCUUUACAUUUCAACUAAAAGACAAAGACCACAUUUCACGCCUCCCGAAAGGAAACGCCGUCUUCUCACUUAUCUCUUAAAUGGAGCAGAUGUUUGAGGCCGCUGUCGCCCUAAAAACAGGGUUCGGUCGUCCUUUGUGGGUCUUUUUCUCUUUCUUCUUUUUUUUUUAAAUCGGAGAAACAAACUUUAUUGGGCCAGUGAGGGAUUGAAAAUGAUUGCGGACUAAGGGGGGUAAUUUAAAACCAGUGUGGUCCCUGAUAGGAGCCUUGUGCAGCACAAGCCGGCUCCUAAUCCGCCCCUCAGCUUUGUGUUUGAUUGGGGACUGUUGAAAAUGGGGAUGAGUCUGCCUCUUCAAAGCCUGUAACAUAAGAGGAAUGUGUGUGUGUGUGUGUGUGUGUGUGUGUGUAUUAAGGUGAUCACUAAAAGCCGAUCGUGUGCAGACGGACAAAUGGAAAUUACACUGAAACAUUUUGCGUAAGCCCCCUUUUGUGAGUCGUCUCACUCAUUACGGCACAUUUUAAUAGCUUUGCUUCGUCAAUCACAAUCCCGGCCUCGAGGUUGAGUCAUUAGUCGGCGUUCACUUGAAUAUGAUAAUAUAAUAAAAGCCUUUCAACAUGUUGCAGUGUUGGGUUUGGCCCCGGGGAGGCCCUAUCGCAUCGCCGUGGGCGACCUCGGCAUCGAGCUCGGGCGCCAGGCGUUUGGCUCCGGGAUUAAAAGUUGGACGCAGAAAUCAGAGAGCAUCCGGGCCUUUGAUUCUCGCCGUGGUUUUUUACGGGGUGGGGGAACGUCGAAAAAAGAUCGCUCUCCUCGCACUCUGUAAAAGUCUGACGGCGUGACGGACGGAGAGGACUCGGCGCCCGCCGGGUCGGAUCUAAAGGACGUGCGCUUCGUCAAAGCGCAUCACCUGGAAGAUAAAAAACCAGCUCCACAUUUUGUGGGAGAACUGUGUUCUGUGUGAAUGGAUUUCAGAGAGCGUUAUCCAUCGUGGUGACGGACUUAAAAUGUGGCAUUUGAGGAGUAUUCGCGUGCUUUUGGCUCUGACUCCCGUCUCGGUGGAUUAAAUAGGAACGAUUCUGCGGUGAACUCAGGGCCGAGCUUUGCUAGAAAUAAAUCUGAGUCAUUUUUUUUGCAACACACAAUUUAUUUAACCGUAACAAUGGAGUGACAUCCCGGGGGAGGAAUGGCGCGAUUAAUCUAUGCAUUUAAUCUCAAUAAAAGCCCCAUUUCAACUUUCCUUCACACGAUCGUCCUUUUUAGACAGAAAUUACCGCUCCGUUUGUCUCCUUUCCCGUCUCCCAUGUUUCCAUCUCUCGCUUAACGAUAAACCGGAACGGCCGCCGUCCCUCUGGGCUCCGCACGCCGGGCGAUACGGUACCGGCCACUUCAGGCCCCAUCUGUGGCCGUUUAGCACUGAUCUACAUUAACCGCCCUAAUUUGUCUGCCAAAGCCCCCUCUGAUUGCUACCAUGUGAUGUUAUGCGAAAGGUGAGGGACGUCUACUUAUCUGUGAAGACGGACAGACGGGGAGACAUGAGCAGGGGGAGGGUUUGAAGCGAGAGAGAGAGAGAGAGAGAGAGAGGGCGAGCGGGGUGACGGAGAGAGGAAAGGAAAGUGAUUAGAGGACGAGGAGGAGGACAAUAGAGACCACAUGACAGGAUGGGGACGAGACGGGGAGCACGGACAGCGCGGGCGCGCAACAAGUGAUCCGUGCGGUUUUGAUGGUUUGCUGACGACAGCCCUCCCCGCCCCUCCCCCCCGAGAACAGAGUCCGCGAUGAGUCCGGACCGGGACGUCAUCGGGCUCCACGGUCCUCCGGGACUUCUUGGAGUCACGCUUCGAUGUCUGCAGGCCUCCGACGUUUCUAUUUGACCUCUUCUCUUCCUCCGUGUCCACUUCUUAGGAAAAAGUUUCCGGUGGGACUUUGGGUCUUUGAGCGUGCGACAGUAAGACCGGCGGCGAGCUGGUUGGGGGGGGGGGGGCCUUCCGCUCGUAUAUUCAUUUGCCACUAAGCUCCAUAAGAUCACAGUGUGCUUGGAAAAGGCCGUCACACCGUCGGAAUAUCUGUUGCUGCCUCUUGUUGCAGACGAUGGCCGAUUGUUACCUGAGUUAAUUCAAGGAGGCUUAAGCCAACAUCUUCGUCUGACCCCAGAUCGACUCCAACAGGCGUGUGAAGGACUCCCCCUCCCUCCCCCCCCCCCCCUAUCACGACUGCCAGCUGUGGCGUGACCUGCCAGCAGGACGCGGUCCUGCCAGGCGGAUUCAUGACAGAUAAUGACAGCUCCCGGAGCAUUCCCAUUCCACCAUGUCCGCCACGGAUAUUUGCACUUAAAUAUGUUGCUGUAGUACGAAAAAUAACCGCAGAGCAGAGGAUUUGAUCCGUGAUGCUCCUUCUAUUGCUCUUUGAAAGACUUCACAUUCAAUCCCUCACUGGCUCAGUCAUUUCUUGUCAUUUACAGACUUUUGGAGAGCCCCCCCACCCCCAUCC
ensembl:lncRNA